GACGAACGCUGGCGGCGUGCUUAACACAUGCAAGUCGAACGGAAAGGCCCUGCUUUUGUGGGGUGCUCGAGUGGCGAACGGGUGAGUAACACGUGAGUAACCUGCCCUUGACUUUGGGAUAACUUCAGGAAACUGGGGCUAAUACCGGAUAGGAGCUCCUGCUGCAUGGUGGGGGUUGGAAAGUUUCGGCGGUUGGGGAUGGACUCGCGGCUUAUCAGCUUGUUGGUGGGGUAGUGGCCUACCAAGGCUUUGACGGGUAGCCGGCCUGAGGGGGUGACCGGCCACAUUGGGACUGAGAUACGGCCCAGACUCCUACGGGAGGCAGCAGUGGGGAAUAUUGCACAAUGGGCGGAAGCCUGAUGCAGCAACGCCGCGUGCGGGAUGACGGCCUUCGGGUUGUAAACCGCUUUCGCCUGUGACGAAGCGUGAGUGACGGUAAUGGGUAAAGAAGCACCGGCUAACUACGUG
rnacentral:rRNA from 1 species